rnacentral:rRNA from 1 species
UACGUAGGGGGCGAGCGUUGUCCGGAUUUACUGGGCGUAAAGGGCGCGCAGGCGGCUAUCCAAGUCAGGCGUGAAAGCCCCGGGCUUAACCUGGGAGGUGCGUCUGGGACCGGGUGGCUAGAGUUCGGGAGAGGAGAGUGGAAUUCCCAGUGUAGAGGUGAAAUUCGUAGAUAUUGGGAAGAACACCGGUGGCGAAGGCGGCUCUCUGGACCGAGACUGACGCUGAGGCGCGAAAGCGUGGGGAGCAAACAGG